rnacentral:rRNA from 1 species
AGAGUUUGAUCCUGGCUCAGAACGAACGCUGGCGGCGUGCCUAACACAUGCAAGUCGAACGGACUUUAAGACUUCGGUUUUAAAGUUAGUGGCGCACGGGUGAGUAACGCGUGGAUAUCUGCCUAUCAGUGGGGGACAACUACAGGAAACUGUAGCUAAUACCGCAUAAGCUGUACGCAGGAAAGCAGGGGACCUUCGGGCCUUGUGCUGAUAGAUGAGUCCGCGUCUGAUUAGCUAGUUGGUGGGGUAAAGGCCUACCAAGGCGAUGAUCAGUAACUGGUUUGAGAGGAUGAUCAGUCACACUGGAACUGAGACACGGUCCAGACUCCUACGGGAGGCAGCAGUGGGGAAUAUUGCACAAUGGGGGAAACCCUGAUGCAGCGACGCCGCGUGCGGGAAGAAGGCCUUAGGGUUGUAAACCGCUUUCAAUUGGGAAGAAGAGAUGAGGAUUAAUACUCCCUCUGAUUUGACGGUACCUUUAGAAGAAGCACCGGCUAAUUUCGUGCCAGCAGCCGCGGUAAUACGAAAGGUGCAAGCGUUGUUCGGAUUUACUGGGCGUAAAGAGAUCGUAAGGUGGUUUGUUUAAGUCGGAUGUGAAAUCCCGGGGCUCAACCCCGGAACUGCAUUCGAUACUGGCAGACUAGAGUUUGGGAGGGGUAAGCGGAAUUCCGUGUGUAGCAGUGAAAUGCGUAGAUAUACGGAGGAACACCUGAGGCGAAGGCGGCUUACUGGACCAAUACUGACACUGAGGAUCGAAAGCGUGGGUAGCAAACAGGAUUAGAUACCCUGGUAGUCCACGCCCUAAACGAUGUCAACUAGCCGUAGCGGGUAUCGACCCCUGCUGUGGCGAAGCUAACGCGAUAAGUUGACCGCCUGGGGAGUACGGUCGCAAGAUUAAAACUCAAAGGAAUUGACGGGGGCCCGCACAAGCGGUGGAGCAUGUGGUUUAAUUCGACGCAACGCGAAGAACCUUACCUGGGCUUGAAGUGUGCAGGACAGGUCUUGGAAACUUGACCCUCCCUUCGGGGCUUGCAUAGAGGUGCUGCAUGGCUGUCGUCAGCUCGUGUCGUGAGAUGUUGGGUUAAGUCCCGCAACGAGCGCAACCCUUGUCUCUAGUUGCCAGCGCGUAAUGGCGGGAACUUUAGAGAGACUGCCGGUGACAAACCGGAGGAAGGUGGGGAUGACGUCAAGUCCUCAUGGCCCUUACGUCCAGGGCUACACACGUGCUACAAUGGCCGGUACAAUGGGUCGCCAACCCGCGAGGGGGAGCUAAUCCCAAAAAACCGGUCGUAGUUCGGAUUGGAGUCUGCAAUUCGACUCCAUGAAGCCGGAAUCGCUAGUAAUCGCGGAUCAGCACGCCGCGGUGAAUACGUUCUCGGGCCUUGUACACACCGCCCGUCACACCACGAAAGUUGUUUGUACCAGAAGUCGGUGAGCCAACCCGCAAGGGAGGCAGCCGCCCACGGUAUGAGCGAUGAUUGGGGUGAAGUCGUAACAAGGUACCCGU